rnacentral:lncRNA from 1 species
UCACUGGAUGCGAGCGAACGUAUGGGAAGACCUCUGCGACUAGUGGAGCAGCGAGGAGUAAGCCAAUAGACGAUAGAGGAUCCGACAGAAUUGGGCCAUCCAGUAGGAUCCGAUCAGGUACAUGGGCGACUCCAUCGACACACUUGUUGUGGCUGGCAGACUAGUAAAAAAAUCUAUACCAAAACUCUUCACUAGAACUGUAAAAAUUCUUAUAUAUAUGUCUUAAUUAAUUUAAUUUUAUUAUUUAUUUAUUAUAGAAGCUGGAUCAUCCACCAGGUCAGCUGCAGUUGUGGGAGGCCACACACCAGUCUAGAAGGACUAUGAUUAUUUAGAUUCUAGAUCAUGAUAGAUCAAGGCAAG